rnacentral:rRNA from 1 species
GACGGAGGAGGAAAGCGUUAACCGGAAUUAUUGGGCGUAAAGGGUACGUAGGCGGCUGGUCAAGUCUGGGGUUAAAGGCCACAGCUCAACUGUGGGAAGGCCCUGGAAACUGACCGGCUAGAGUGAGGUAGGGGUUGCGGGAAUUCCCGGUGUAGCGGUGAAAUGCGUAGAGAUCGGGAAGAACACCUGAGGCGGAAGCGCGCAACUGGGCCUCAACUGACGCUGAGGUACGAAAGCUAGGGGAGCGAAUGGG